rnacentral:lncRNA from 1 species
AUAACACCUGGCUCUCCAAAUGAGGCUUUCUUGUCUAUACCCAAACAUAAUAUAGUUAAAUGUUCUAUGAAUUUAUUCAUAGCAGAUAAUCAGGCAUAACAUUGGACAUUUAAAAAAUAAACUUCUGGUUCAGUAUUUGUCUAAAUAUUAAUUUUUUGAAUUUUUUUUUAGGGAAGAUGGCUUUAUGCUUUAUUGGCUUGUCUUGAAAAGCCUUUGUUACCUGAGGCUCAUUCACUGAUUCGGCAGCUUGCAAGAAGGUGCUCUGAAGUGAGGCUCUUAGUGGAUAGCAAAGAUGAUGAGAGGGUUCCUGCUUUGAAUUUAUUAAUCUGCUUGGUUAGCAGGUAUAGUUAAUCCUUGGCUUCUUUAUUAUUUAUCAGUGAGGUCAGUGAGGUUAGAUCGUAUUUAUUACAUUUGGUUUUUGUUUGGUUGGUUUUUUUUUGAGUCUCACUCUGUUGCUAUAGUUAGGGUGCAGUGGCGCAAUCACAGCUCACUAGAGCUUUAACUUCCUGGGCUCCAGCAAUCCUCCCACCUCAGCCUCCUGAGUAGCUAGGACCACAACCAAGCACCACCACACCUGGCUAAU